rnacentral:tRNA from 1 species
GUUCCAAUAGCUCAGUCGGUAAGAGCAACUGACUCAUAAUCAGUAGGUCGUAGGUUCAAUCCCUACUUGGAACA